UCUCUGCCAACCGAGAGGCUUUAAAUAUUCAGUUGGUGUAUUUAAGCGAAUUGAGGUCUGCUGAGUGAAGUCCACAGGUUUCUGAAGCAAUCUGAACAGUGCCUGCCUUUCUCUGAAGUGUUUUAUUAUUCCGAGUCGGGCCUGCUGCAUCUCCCAAGCCCACGGUCCCUGACAGGCACGCACAGCUGGAAGGAUAAGGAUCGUGAUUUUGCAGCGCCUCCGAUGAAUGACAGGUGUCUGCGGCAUGAGGGGAUUUCACUCUCCUUUGUGACCAAGCCAUUCCAGCUAGCAGUGAGUUCAUCACCUUCAGAAAUUGCCAGCAGCCAACCAUGUUGCAGAACACACAUCAAACCCAAGCCUUAGCUGGGACAUAAUUUUAAAUCAAGCCGUUUUUAGGUUUCUUUACCUCCUUUUCUAAGUCUCUC